GCCCGCCGUGAGGAGAGUGAAGUGGUGGAGAGGGACGCUCGUGCCACCCCGGGUCCUCCUACCGUCUCUAUCAUGAUCAUUCAGUGGGUGUCCUGCAGUGACCUGGUUGUUGGGAGGGACAGCCUCCUCCCUCUCCAGCCCAUUCCCCUUCUUCGCUGGUCAAAUUGACAACGGCAAGAUCGAGAACAGCUCAUUGGCACACCAGAUGGAAGCCAACACUGAGGAUGGAGGAGAAACAAGACACAGGGAGCCAGCUAGACACUGGAUGGCUUCGUGAAAGAGGCUCCGUGCCAGCUGAGAUUUUAUUACAAAAUCACUCUUGGGAUGCUGCUUCCCAUCGAUGGAUUCUGUUUUCCACUCCUCUUGGCAUCUAAGUGUGGCCUUGUGAUUGGUUCUCACCAAUGGGAUGGGAUGGAAGCGAUACAGGCCUCUUCCGAGCCAAUGCUCUUAAGAAACAUGUAUGUUGGCCAGGCACGGUGGCUCACGCCUAUAAUCACAGCACUUUGGGAGGCCGAGACGGGAGGAUCAGCUGAGUCCAGGAGUUCGAGACCAGCCUGGCCAACAUGGCGAAACUCCAUCUCUACUAAAAGUACAAAAAUUAGCCAGGCGUGGUGGGCGCUUAUAAUCCCAGCUACUCCGGAGGCUGAGGCAGGAGAAUUGCUUGAACCUAGGAGGCAAAGGUUGCAGUGAGCCGAGAUCCCACCACUGCACUUCAGUAUGGGCAAAAGAGUGAGACUCCAUCUCAAAAAAAAAAAAGAAACAUCUGCCUGCUUCCUGCUCUUUCAAGGCCCUAAAGAAAGAGGGGAGCCCCAAGAAACCUGGGUCCCUGAAUGACCACCUUGUGGAAAUACAUCCUGUCACCUAACAUCUAUCCUAGAUUGCUACAUGAUCAAGAAAUACACAUCUAACUUGUACACCCAAUGCUCAUAGCAGCAUUAUUCACAAUAGCCAAGAGGUGGAAGCAACCCAGUGUCCAUUGACAGAUGAGCGAAUAAACAAAAUGUGGCACAUAAAUGCAAUGGAAUAGACCAGACGCGGUGGCUCACAUCUGUAAUCCCAGCACUUUGGGAGGCCAAGGCGGGCGAAUCACCUGAGGUCAAGAGUUUGAAACCAGCCUGGCCAACAUAGUGAAACCCUGUCUCUACUAAAAAUACAAAAAAUUAGCCAGGCGUGGUGGCGGGCGCCUGUAGUCCCAGCUACUUGGGAGGCUGAGGCAGGAGAAUCACUUGAACCCAGAGGCGCAGGCUGCAUUGAGCCAAGAUCAUGCC
rnacentral:lncRNA from 1 species